GGAAUAUUAGCUCAGCUGGUUAGAGCAUCUGACUGUUAAUCAGAGGGUCAUAGGUUCAAAUCCUAUAUAUUCCG
rnacentral:tRNA from 1 species